rnacentral:rRNA from 1 species
UGAGUAACCUGCCCUUAACUCUGGGAUAAGCCUGGGAAACUGGGUCUAAUACCGGAUAUGACUCCUCAUCGCAUGGUGGGGGGUGGAAAGCUUUUUUGUGGUUUUGGAUGGACUCGCGGCCUAUCAGCUUGUUGGUGAGGUAAUGGCUCACCAAGGCGACGACGGGUAGCCGGCCUGAGAGGGUGACCGGCCACACUGGGGACUGAGACACGGCCCAGACUCCGUACGGGAGGCAG